CUUAAAAAUACAAAACAAUGAUGUGGAGUGAAGGGAGAAAAUGAGUAAAACAGCUUGAGAAGAAAUCAUGAAUGAAACAGGAAAGAUGGACACGAGUGACAAUGAGCUGGUGUUUCUCAGGCCGCCUUGUCUUUCCGUUAUCACAGGAUGCAGAGCUGGGAAGAGUGAAGAAGCAGCAAAGGGAGGACCGGAGCCUUAGAGCAUGAUUUACUUGACCUUGCAGCGCUGGAACCAACAACCAGAACCUCAUUAAUUCCCAGGGUCAUUCUGCUUGGACAUAACUUGGUUAAAAAUCAGAAUGAGUGGAUGACUUCCAGACGUACACCAAGAGUUAUGAAAUCCCUGGCCUUAACCCAACCUCCCUGGAUCUCGUAGUACCCACUCCAAAACCAAAGCUCUCUCAAAACGGGGGUUUAAAUCACGUUGGGUCCUCUUGGAGGAGUCACCCAAUCCUGAUUGAAGGGAGGAGGCCAAAUGGAACAUUUUCUGCUUAUUAGGCAGCAAAUACGCUGUUGUUUUAUGUGAUUAUCAACUAUGAAUGAUUUUUCUCUCCCAUCCAUUCUGGAACCUUGGCCUGUCUUUUGUUUAUAAAAAAAAAAGGAGCUGGAGCAAGAGCAGGGCUGAAAGGGGAAGCCCAAUAAAUUACACUAAUGCACACAUUUAAAGGGGCUUAUAUUCCCUCUGGCCUGUUAUCAAGACUACUCCAGUGAGAAUGUAAACUACCUCUUUCUGUCCCCCUCCCCUGACCCAAUAUUCAAUGUUAGCAUGCUUUAAAACAACUCCUCUGUUUAUGUUAUCGCAAAUAAAGGGGCAGAUUAUUCCAACUUUUUCUCGCUAUUUCAUGCUGGCCCCAGAUUAGUCAGGCAAAUAGUUGUCUAAUGGUGCUGCUGGGCUCAUUAAUCCAAAAAGAUAGACCCGGGAUUGUGUAAACACAGUGUAGUCAGGGGCAGUGAAUCACACCUUCGGUUUGCAGAGGCCGACAGAGAAGGUUGGGGCGGGGGGAGCAUGCUGUGUAUGGGCCCACACAAGGAAAGUUGUGGAAAGGAAAACAAGCAUAAUCCUGCUGAUAAAAGCAGGAUCGCUCCAGCGUUUAUUUGGACACACAGUGCCUGGCUGAGGUUAGACCCUAAUGAGACAGCGGCCUGUCCAGGAUGGAUUCAUCACCGCCAGAUCAGGGUUAUCGCCCUCCGCCCGUGCCCCUCUACUUUUAAUCAGGCUCCUCUCCGGUCACUCCCUAUCUGCAGCAGUCCAUCUCUGGAGCCGUCAGCAUCCAUCAGCGGCUGCAGACAAGUCCAGGGAGCUCCGACCGAGGAGUGCAUUACUUGUUAUGAGAGCGGAUCAGCGAAGGAAUGGCAUAUCUGCGCUGCAAACAAGCACAAGUGUGUCAAGAGUGAGAUUAACUAAUUGGAUUCCAUCCAUGAGUCUUUGUUUGGUGGAGGAGGGCGAUACGGUGGGGGUCCAAGCGAGGGGAAGCGAUCCCUCUCUGAAGCCUCAACAAGCUACAUGACACGGCAGGCUUCCACCUCCAACUCCCAGACGAGGAAUCUGGGAAUGGAGAAACGAUGGAAGGAAGGGGAUUCCCAUAAAAAAGUGAAAUCUGUCUAAAUAAAUAACUUGAAGUGGCACUCGAGGAGACGCAGUGCAUCUACAUUUCCUGUGGCUGCUUCCUGCCGUCACGUAGGAUCUCUACAUAUCUCUAUCCAUGAGCUUGUGCCAGGGGAAACAUUAUGAAGCUGAUGACUCUUUUUUUAUUUUUUUUCCAGUGUGAGGGGAAGUUGAGGGCCUGUGAACAACACCGGGUUGGUGCAGGAAGAGGCAGAGGUGUGGUGAUUGGAGUACACAGGUCACGACCUCAAACUUGUAAUGAUCACCUGAUGGAUGUUGUGAGUCUGGGGUCAUCUGUGUGUCAGGGGAGAAUGGGAAGGAACAAGUGUUGGGCCGCCCUGCACGGCCUGCAAAA